rnacentral:lncRNA from 1 species
CUGUUCACAGAGGACGCCGUUAGAACAGGAAAUAGUUUCUGUUGUUCUCAGUUUUGAACUUUCAUAGUUUUGUGUUAUUUUCUUGUUGUACCUUGUCGGUCCCUCCUUGUGUUCCAUGUCUUGUUUUACUUCUGCUGUCGGGCUGUUCACAUUUCUGGUGUUGGUCAUUCUUACCCUGACCUUGUGGCCCAUGUCUGUACUCCUGUGUUCAGGUUUUUAGGGUUUCCUGUUUUAUUGUUGUGAUAUUUUCUCCCUGUGAGUCCAGUCUGGUUUGUCUUCCUGUGUUGUCCCUCCUGUGUGCCCUCUUUGUCUUCACCUGUGCCCUGUUGUCUCACCACGUGUCUCAUUGCCCAUUGAAAUGAAAUUCAACAGGAAUGCUUACAGAUGUAACAUUUUUGACAUCUGAAUGGCUGGUAACUCUAUCGCCCUAAACGCCACUCUUGACUAAAAUUGCAACGAAAAUAACGAUGUACUUUGAUUCUUAUUCCACAGGAUCGAGGGGAAGCUUGCCUUUUUUCAAUAAGUCACACUGAUAUAAGUGGCAUGGCUCAUUUGAGCUCCCCCUCAGUAACAAUGGUAACUCAUACCACUGAACAAGUCUGCUCCGGGGCAGGUUAACUGUCAAGUUUAGUUUAGUUGUGUGUCGAAAGAUGUCCAAAAGGAGGAAAGAGAGUCUCUAUGACAGCCAUAAGGUGGAUUUAUGUUGCCAAAUUGAUCAUGUUCGGAAGCAAAAGUAAAACAGCAAUUUAAAAUCAUGUCCUAACUCUCAUAAAACCUUUUUUGAUAUCAUACUUUGUCUAUGAUCAGGCAGUAAACUAAACUGUCAAUCCACAUCAAAAACGAUGAUAACUUUGUCUGGAGAAACAUCCAUAAACCCCACAAACACAGCUCACUGUUUAUACCCCCCCUACACAUGCAUGUCUACAUGACAUCUCCGAACAAUACAUGUGUGAAUCCAUUCAAAAAUAUUUUUGUUUUCAGCAGCCCAAGACGCCAUUUUUGUGUGAGGAGGGGCCAAAUGCAACAAUGCAAAGUAUUUUCUGGUUAUGAUGUUUUCAUGCAAACAGGUUAUUGGGUUUUGUUUGGAGUGAAUGGCCCACUUGAAUGCAGAAGACUCUUUUCCUCCCAUUAAAAGAAAAUGCAUUCAUGUGUUGUGAAAAUGAUCCAUCUGCAAAUACGGUGAAAUCACCGGAGUAUGCAGGUCAGGCCAGUGGUUGACAGUGUGUUUUGUAAUGAACCAUCGCUGAAGACCACUAUACGCCUGUGCAUAAAGGCCAGCAUUACCAGAGUAGUGAGUACACACUAUUUUACCCAGCAUGUGCAAAUGGGGAUUUGAAUCCAAAGCGAAUUUACACGGUGAAAGAAGGGGAAGCAUAUAUAAAAAAGAUAUCCAUCCUAUUUCAAAACUUUGUGUUUUAGCCACUAAAACGUCUUCUCACCUCUAAUGAAACGGACAAAAUACAACAGUAGUUUAUCAUUGUCUCUCUAGGUCGUCCUCAGACGAGCCUUCCAUCAUCGCUUCCAGUCAUCCCGAUUCUCCAUACAUCUCGCCAGUUCAUUGGUACUCUGAGCUCCUGCAUCCUCCUUGAGUAUGUCCAUGUAUGUUAUUGUAGGACGUUCCUGAUGCCUUUGGCAGCGUCCUGUUAGUCUCAUUCUCCUUACAGCAAUCUUCUCGCUCACCCUUGGUAUUCCCUCAUACAGUGUUCUGUUGGUUACAUGUGCCUUCUUGCUGAUGUUAAGCACUGCACGCAACAUCCUGGUGUAGCACCAUCUAGGAAUAUCUCCAGGGUUGUCUUCAGGGUCCAGCAUUCACUGCCAUAGAGGACAACGGACUCUACUGUCGCGUAGAAGGAGCUGAGUUUGAUUUGGCGGGGGAGGUUGGAGUUCCAGACACUGGUCAUGCCGUUCAGGGCUCUCCACGCAAGUGCCUUCCUCACUUGUAAGUCUUGUUCAGUUGAGUUGACCCAUGAGCCCAGGUAUUUGAAGUCCUUGACUUCUUUCAGCACAGUGCCUCCUGCUGUAGUCAGAGGUUGAUGUUCUGGUGGAACGUUGUAGGUGAUGACCUCAGUUUGGUCUGGUUAAUAUGAUUCUGUCUCAGACACAGCAGCGAGCCGACCUUAAUAACACGUUUAGUAUUCGCAACACUCAUUCAUGAAACACUACCAGGACUUUUUCCACAAGGCUGGACUAUUGCCUGUCAGUCAAGGCUUUCAGGUCAAAGGUCAGAGGUUAUCCUGUAAGUGUCAGAGGCUUUACAACUACAGACUUCUGACCUCCAGACAACUGAGGAUCUGUUAGAUAAGAGUUUUCACAGGUUGCUGGGAAAAGGUUGAGGUAUACGGCGGAGAAAUAUUAGAGCGUCAGAUAGGUUUCAUCAUGUAAGUAAGAGUUUACUAUGAAUGGAAGUGAAGGACUCCAGUCUGCCCCCCACCUUUUGCAUGGCUGUUUCAAUGAAUGUCUUCAGAGCUUCCUGGGGUUAUUCUUCAGAUUUGAUUCUUUCUGUGAGUAAGCAGCAUGAGUUAUACAGCAGAUGACAGCAGCCAGGUCUUGCAGCCAUACAUGGAGUAAAAUAGGGAGCAGUGCAGUAAUCUGAGAGGCUAACGAAAUUCCCAUCAAACAAAAAAGGGACCACAGAAAACAGACCCCCUGCCGUACUCUUGAUUUUCCCUCGAUGUAACUCGGUGAUUCGUUUUUGUGUUACUAUAAAAAAGGAGAGUAAUAUGACCCGAUUACACACAAGUGGAGCACAAUGCAAGUUUCAAAAGUAGAUGAACUUUGGGUUUUGCUGGCGACAUUAUGUUUAUUCUAUGGCCAAUUCAAUGAAAGAGUUGCCUUUUUCUACAGUUAGUCAGCUCCUCCAGAUCCCUCCUCUUCUUUGAUUGCAGUCUACUUUUAACCUCCCCAAACUGUAACGUAGGUUUACCUUCCUUCUUGUCCUCAUCUUCCCUUUGGCACCAUAUUUCUCCAUUUGUAUGUUUCUUAGUUAUUUGAUGAAGUUUCCCCCUUGUUUACAUCUCUCUCUCUGUGUUGUGGCUGUGUACACGUGUAUCUGUUUCCCUUGCAGCAGGGUUAGUGUGAUUUAUAGGAACGCUGCAGACUGUGGAGAGACUCUGGUUUCAGCUUUGAAGUCUCAGCGACCACAGGACUGCUGGCUAACACACACACACACACAGGGACACACACACAGGCGCACAUAGAGGACCUGUGGAUAAAACACACACUGUCAGUUCCUCUGCCAAAAUUUGAAAAGAGAGAGUCAGCAAGAGAGGGAUGUGACUGGCAGAGAAUGAAGUAAGACAGGAGAGGAAAGAUAUAAAGCCCCCCCAGAAAAAGAGAAACGGAGGGAGAGAGGGAGGGAAAAAGGAGGAAGAGAGAGACGAGGAGAGGAAAUGGUCCCUGCCCACAGAGGUAAAAGGACCCCUUGUCUGUUUCAACAAAGUCACAAUUCAACUCUUUUUAGUUCGGUCUCUGUGGUUCAGUCCCGCCUGUCAUUUAUUCCAGGUUCCCAGACGGUUUGUAUUUCUAAGGAUUCAGCAAGUGCAACUCCUCAUGUACGUAUAUCCUCAGACAAAGGUCCAGCUAAUGAAAGAUACACCCUCGAGCCAAUUACUGAGAUUUAAAACAAUAGAAGCACACAGUUUAAGUUAUGAGUCUGGGUCUAUUAAAUUCACAAUGAGAUGAUAAGAGGAUUAAAGCUGCAAUAGACCUUAGAUACAAUAAUGACAUAUAAGACAUGGAGGUGAAAGAUAAUAGAUAAGUUAAAACAAAAUACAGUGAAAUACAAAGUUCUACUCUGUGAAUGCAGUCCUGUCACCAGAAUUCAAAGUUCAAAACAAUACUCCUCUUAUCAGUCUUCACAGAACCACACAACACCCGCCGUCAUAUCCCUCUGUGUCUUGUUUUCUGAGUGUGUGGGGGGUCUCUAGAGUAUAACAGGAAAUGACAGGCCAAAACAUCAUCCAGAUGAGGACAGAGGGGUUUAACGUAACAGCCAUUGUAGAUUACAGCAGCUGCAAAACAUGGCACUCUUGGUUAUAUAUUGAAUAUCAAACUGUCACAGAUGUUCAGGGUGCCAGUUUGGCUUAGAAGCUGAACUGUGUACCCCUGUCCUAUCCUCUCAAUAACGACAGAACAAGUCAAUGAAUGAGAAUUUCAGUGUCAAUUAAUGAUAAUUAUAAAUAAUUCCUAUCGUUUCAGUCGGGCUCUCACUACGGCUCGGGCCCUAAUAACUUUUGUGUGUCUUUGUGUGGGACUUUUCUUGACAUAUGGCUAACAAAGGUAAGGGGCAUGUAAAUUUCAGUGUGACAUUCUUUAGGCAUGUAAAGAAUGUGUGAUACACACACACACACACACACACACACACACACACACACACAAAAGAGCUGCUGUGCUUUUGCAUCAAAGGGGUGACUUUUAACACCCAUCAGAGGUCAGCCACAGCAGAUCACCCACCGUCAAAGCAGCCAUGACAGUGUCACUCAUUCCCUCGUGUGUGUGAGUCUGUGUCUGUGGGGCGGUGGGGGGGGGGGGGCAACAGAAAGUAAGAGCAAGAGUGACGGAGCAAGAAUGAAGGAGAGAAAUAGAAAGAGCAUGUGUCUCAAUGUUUGUGUGUCACGAGGUCAAAUGAGUCUCUUGGCUUUUUCUGACACCAUUCGAGGCGAGUCAAUGAGCUUACCUGCUGACAAACCCCACUCUCACACAGGCUGUCACACCGCAGGGAGGCUCAGGCAGCUUCGACAACAGUAAAUGUACUUUGACACAUGCAGCAGCAUCAAACAGAGCUGACUGAGGCAAACCAGACAACAAGAGGGUGUUUUUACCUUAAGGCCCUGCUGGGUAAAGCAAAAUACAAAUCAGGACUCCAAAAGAAAUUCAAAGAACAAACUUCAAGUUAGUAGCAAGUCUCUACAUUUUAUAAUUAGAGAAAGCAUUUUGAUAAAAGAUUGCUAAUUUGACUUUUGCAAGACCAGAUUUAGCUCAAUCCCUAAGCCCUACUGGUGGCUUACAGUUUCAUAAUAACUUUAUAGGGCUGUAUUUUCGUUUCUCGCCGGCAGCGUGGUGUAGGCGCAGCGUAAUCAGGUCUGCCAUGCCGACAAGGUGUGCCCAAGCACAUUUGGUACUUUGGUGAGCGGCGCAGCUCAGUGAAAGUAUCCCCCCCUCCCUAACUCAGCUUCUCGUAAGUCGUAGAGAGGGCGUGGAGUGGGUUUAACACAGCCGAGACCUGUUUUCACCAAUCAGAUCAGCUCCUCUCCUCACCUUUAAAUCCUCCACUCAGUCCACGAAAAAAACAAAGUGGCUGUGCUACGGGCUCCGCCAGACGAAAAUACCGCUGCACAGGGUCUGCCACCCUCCGCCGCACCACCAGCGAGCACGAAAAUAGAGCCCAUGAUGUUUUGACACUUUGCAUGUGUGCUGGUUAAAAAUUUGUAGCUCCACUGUCGAGGUAUUCCAAAACCAGGGUAAGGGCCAGGCUGGGAAGUGAGUUUAGCCCCGUAUUUUUUCUAAUGACACAAUUCAAAGUUUGACACAAACCAUGUCAUCACAAAGGAAUGCAUCCUAGACAUGAUGUAACCCGAAUUUAUUAUUUUAUUUGGAAACGAGUUAGCCUGAGCUGCCGAGUCACCCACCGUUUGCUUCUACUGUGAUGUUUUUUUUCCUCCUUAGCCUCAGAGUUAACCGACAACACAGCAAAAACACCAAGUUGUAACCUCAGUGGGCUUAAACAACUCAGAGUUUUAUGCCGUCUUAAUGAAUUCAGUUUAUUUUUUACUUUAUGUCAGUUAUUUUCAGCUGCAUAGAAAUUCCUGAUAAGAAACAUGUCCCCAAAAAGCAUCUCUCUCUCUCUCUCUCAUCUUUUUUUUUUUUAUCUUAUAUGUCACAUACACACGGUGUAAGCUGUAUUUACUCAGAAGUCUGAGCAUCAUUAAAACCAACCAGAGUAUUUUUCCUUCUGCUAUUUGAUCCGAACUGACACAAAAGUUGUUUAAUUAAAGGAAAGUGUUUCUAGGUCAGCAAAGCUCUGUGUUUGGGGCCAGACUACAGCCUGGAUGUCUGUUUCACCCAAACAAUUCCUGGUGGCCACAGUAAAAGAUUUAUGCAUCACUAAUGUAAUUAUUUACUGAGGAAAAGCCUUGUUUAGUUUUCCCAUUUUAGCCCACUUAAUGCACGUCUCGUUGUUCGACAGCGUUUUCCUGACUGUCUUUAUAUGUGCUACUAUAUCUGCUUUCAAUGAAGGAGUGUGCAGAGUAUUAAAAGAGUUCCUCUGUACCCUGACAGAUUUUACUUGACCCCCUCAGAAUGAUAUUUUUGAAUGAGUUACUCUUGCAAGAGCUUUUAUAUUUAAAUGACUAUUUCUGAUACGAUGAAAUGUGGGUGGUCUAAAGUUUGGAAUGUACAGUAUGCCUUAUAUAAAUACACCUAAGGUUAUUGUACAAUAUUGACAUUGUGUACAUUGCAAAUUUCUUGUGUUUAGAGUUUUCAGGACUGCUUUUUGUUUCAUAGUGGAUUCAUUACGAGAAUCAAUAAUAGUCAUGCCAAAGGGCAAGAGAAAAUGCAAAAGAGAAGAGAAAGUCGGGGCGAAGUUGGAUGCAUGCGAUGCAUUUGAAAAUGACACAAAAAGGAGGAAAGCUGAGUCAAGCUAAGUGAUCCCAGAAAAACAUGUGUUUUUUGCCAAAGCAUACAAAGGAACUGACGAGAGAGGAAGAGAUUCUGCUAAGGCAAUUCCCUCUUUAAAAACAUCAAGUUCAAACAGUCACUUCACUGCAAUCUCAGCAUUACUCACAACAUGUCCAGCUCUGUGGAACUAUCUUCUUCUUCCAAUACUGUUCGGUGUUACCAUAUACUGUAUAUACUAUGGACAACUUGGUUCAAUUGGUUAUGACCUAUACUGCAGCCCGUCACCAGAGGGUGCUGUUCUCGCAGUGGCUUCACCCAGCAAGGAGGCAGACGGCGUCCAUUCUAUAUACAGUCUAUGGAUGUUACCAGUAAGCUACAAGCAGGACAGAAAGUUAGCCUUUAAAAUAAGUCAACAACAAUUUAUUUUGAAAACUAUUCACAGACAGGAGUCUCAUAGUAACAUCGACCAUAUGGAGAACAUCAGCUUUUAGUUACUGUCUUACAGAGAACUGACAUUUGUUCAGACUUAGAGCUCUCUGAAAAUGUCAGUCUAGAUAGAAAUGUAAAUAAAGUGAUUACAAAGCUGCAAAAUCACCCCAAAAACUAACAUCGAUGUCAGGUAGCAUUAUAAGUGCCACUAGCACUCACUCGAAUUUCAUUCAUUAUGUUAGUCGGACUUUCAAGGUUACAGAGACGUGAGUAAAAACUUUUAUAUACACAAGCAGCAAUGCAAAAUGAAUUUAUCUGGACACACUUGGUUUUCAGCAUAACAAUGACAUGCCUCUGUCUUUAUACUUUAAGAGGUACCCUGCAACUUUUGACGGAAAGGGACAGACUUUUUUAAAAUUUGCAAAGCAACACACAACAAAGUCCGAUACUUCAUAGAAAUUUUGAGUUAAGGAAACUUUUUUAGUUACAACAGAAGAAGAAAAAUGUGAUUUGACUGAUGAGCCUCCAAAUAUGUUACAGCCUCUCCAAUAACAAAAGCUCAGGCUUGAAAGUGGAGCACAACACAGCUUAAAAGGGACACAAAGAGGUAAAAGUUAAAGCCACUGGCUGAAAGAAGAAAGCCCCAAAUGCUCAAAAUUAAGAAAACAUUAAAGAGGGAAAACAAAAGGAGUCGGAGACCCCAGCCAAGAUGAACAAAAGAUGGAAAGGUGCUGAGCCAGCCACACGGUGAACUCUUGCUCCUAACACCUCCUUUUAAAACUAACCAAGAGAAAAACUAACCUGAGAAAAGAAAAGACUGAUAACUGAUAAAACUCUGCAGGGAAGGCAAAUCAACUCUCUCCAACACAUGCUCCAUAAUAUGUGUGAUCCAGACAGACGUUUCUAUUGCACGACUAUUACUGUCACCUUCUCCUGCCUGAGUGCCGACAACAUCGUGCCUGAAAGCUCUGGUGUACAGCAGGCAGGGGAAGGAGGGAGAGCAAAGAGAAAGAGAGAAAAAAACACUUCAACAAAAGCAACAAAAGCAUAUUUUAUAUCUUUGUGUCCGAGUUUCAGAGUUUUGUCAGUUAGGCCGUCAUCACUUUCAUCUCUGGUUCAAUCUGAGGUCAGAGAGAAAACACUGCGUCCCCUCCUGUCAGAUUCAUUGUUGUUUUUUUCUUUCUCUGUCUCUUUUCUCAUGUCCCAUUAAGAUUACACUCUAAGAUCUCUGUGGCAGAAAUGCUCUGAAUUAGCCUGCACAGAUUUCGACUGGUUACUGCAGUGACUAUUCUCUCUCAGUAUUUGAUAAGUAGUGAUAGAUUGCUUCAGAGAAAAAUCAUCCAUGUAUUCUCUGAAGAACUACAAUCCCAUGAGAUCUAAUCCUGCGAAAGCCAGUUCCUUAAUGUCCGGACCAACCACAAUCUUCUACGUCAUCCGAACCAACUUCCAGCCAACCAUAUAGCAUGACGUCAUCAAAAGGUGCCGGGCCGAUCCAGAUGUGUUUGGGCUGAUCUGGCAGCUCCGAGUCCCAUAACCAUGAUUAUAUCUCGCAUAAUUUAUUGGAGAGUACAGACAGUUUAGCUGUUUCCUAUAGAAACUUAUCAGAUUACAUUCUCAUCAUUUAAAGCACAAAUUAAAUCAAUAGUAAAUAUGGAAAAUAGUAAUGGUCCGAGGCAGCUAGCCUGGGUUACUCCACACUGUAAAUAUUUAGGGAAGGAAGUACUACAAUUAAAGAACACAUAUGUCUAUUGAUCCUGUUAGAUAAAUAACUCUUCAUCAAGUGGUUGCUGUUGGACUGAACUUGACUUAGUGUUUUUAAUAAUAAACAAUGUCUAUAAUAUCGAAUGUUGCGCUCAAGUCAAGUAAUAAAGUCCCAACUAUCAUCCUAUUAUCAAUACAAGUCAAGCAUGUAUCUGUCAUGAUCUUCUGCCUGCUGAAAAUGGCAAGAGAAAAAUAAUGUAUGAUUUGUUCAUGAGCAAAAUUUUCCAUUAGCGUGACACUGGAAGAACACUGAUUGGUCUGUUAUUGUCAGCUGAGAAACUCUCCUGUUAAGUAUCUUCUAUAGCAACAGUGAUUGCAUGUGUUGUUAUGCCUACAAAGUGUGUAUGUGUGCGAUAAGUCUACAUGAUGGAGGAAGACACUGUGAUUCACCCUAAAGCA